rnacentral:sRNA from 1 species
CCAACUUUUCAGAAGAAGAAUUGUAAGAUGCAAAAGAGUUCACAUACAGCAGUUCCUACUAGAGUCAACAGAGAAAAGUACAAAAAUAUAACUGCCCAGAAAUCAAGUAGCAAUAUUAUUUUAUUACGAGAACGGAUUAUAUCCUUGCAACAACAAAACAGUGUACUUCAGAAUGCCAAGAAAACAGCAGAAUUGUCUGUUAAAGAAUAUAAAGAAGUUAAUGAAAAGCUCCUCCAUCAACAGCAAGUAUCCGAUCAACGAUUUCAGACAAGCAGGCAGACAAUAAAGACCAGACCAGCUUUCUCCAUGCAGCUCUGGCCAUGCUUAUUGGCCAUGUGAAGCUAAAUUUGGAUUUGGCUGGGCUUCGGAAAGAAAAAGAAGAUUUACUAAAGAAAUUGGAGUCCUCAUCUGAAAUCACAAGUUUGGCAGAAGAAAAUUCCCAGAAUGCUACUAAUGAACUCACUAAACAGUCAUCAAAUGUGAAGUCUUUGAAAUUUGAACUCCUAGCAAAA